UACGGAGGGUGCAAGCAUUGAUCGGAAUUACUGGGCGUAAAGGGCGCGUAGGCGGCUUGUCAAGUUAGAUGUGAAAUUCCGGGGCUCAACCCCGGAGCUGCAUUUGAAACUAACGAGCUAGUGGCUAGUAAGGGAAAACAGAAUUCCACGUGUAGCGGUGAAAUGCGUAGAUAUGUGGAAGAAUACCGGUGGUGAAGACGGUUUUCUGUGCUAAGCCAGACGCUGAGGCGCGAAAGCUAGGGGAGCAAAC
rnacentral:rRNA from 1 species